UACUUAUAAUUAAUAAUAAUUAUAGUAUUUCCAUUUUGGCAGAGAAUGUCUGCCAGAUCAUGCACUCAGAGCUGGUACUGGCUUGUACAGUCUGGUAUGGAAGUUAUUCAUUUUGAGCAUAGUAGCCUUUUCAAACUAAGAGGCAGCAUAGAGGUAUGAAUUUUAAGACAAAUUGAAGAACUCAAGAAGAUAAGCGAAGGGAAAGAGUGCUAGGACCAGUUCAGCCAGAAAACUACCAUGAAAUUAUCAUUCACUUAUUCAAAAGCUGUGUGCUGUGAGGUGUGUAUCCAUUUCUGGAUCAAAUGUGCAAAUUUCUAAAACAAAUGUAACCUUUUUUUCCCCACAGAUUUUACGUUUUUGUUUAUGCAUGGAUCAGAAGAAAAAAAAAAGAGUGAAUGAAUAUGAAAUCAGAUGUACAGAGCUCCUCUCCAGCAGAAUUUUAGCAUGUGUUCUGAACAAAUCUCCAGGAGUUCUAUGGAGGUUGUUAACUAAGUUAGCCCUUCACACAGUGUACAAAAUGUGCCUGCCAAAACAAUUUUUUGGGGGGGGGGGUUUUGUGUGUGUUAAAGCUCUUACAUAUAUUAAUAUUUGAUUCAGGUAUUUGUGGCUCAUGAUGCUAACAGGGCGAUGUGCACAAGCAUCCUGAAAACUGUGGAUUGGUGAGGGCCAACACUGCUGCAUCCAGCAAAAGAAGCAAGGAUAGAAGGAAAGAAAGGGAGAAUCUAAAGCAUGCUAAGCAAGAAGUUGUUCCCAGAUGUCUCUACUGUGAAGAGUGAACAUUGUGCCAGGGAGAUUCUUCCUGUUUUAGAAGGAAUAGAGGCAACAGCUUUGAAAGCAGAAGACAGAACCACGUUGUGAAAUGGCUGUGAUGGACUGACGUCUGAAAGUUAUAGGGAAGCUUCGCCUCUUGUAUUAUAUUCACACAACAGGAUGAAGAAAACCAGUUAAUUUUGAAGAACCUUGGCAGAAUAAAUAAAUUAAAAAAGAAGUGGAACUCUGUUCAUCUCUCAUGUGCUGAUUGCUCCCUCACGUGACCCUUCUAAAUAUUACACUGAAGAUAUUCUGACUGCAGUCAGUGGAGCGAGAGAUGGACUUUGCCCGAAUAUUUCUAACCAGAGUUCAAUGUGAUCUCAAAUCGAAUUCAUGUUGCUGCUGGAAUAACCAUGAGAAGAAAACAGCAUUUGGAGGAAGGACCAGGCACCAUACAUGUGAUUUAUCUGACAUAGAAUGACAUAGAUGUCUUAAAUGGGGUCCGAAAGGCCACCUGAGAUUGUACCUUGAAUGCUGCUGUCAGGAAAGGAAACUUUAGCUCUCGGUGCUAUUGUGCUGUUUUCAGCUCCGCAGAGCAAGUAAAAGAUAAUCUCCUGCUUGGAUAUCCUCGUGCUACUGCGAUCCACUAAUAGGCUCACCAUCCAGUUUUGACUUAACAGGCACUGGAAGAGGAUAAUCCUGUUUAUUCGGUCAUCCAAAGCACUGAUGAUGAUCUGAGAUAAUCGGUGGCUGAGAGCAGCAAGGAGGGAUGCGCGAGGUCCUCCGUGCCUGGAUGGAUGAGUCAGAUGCUCAGCACUGCAGCCCCAAUGUGGUGUGGAGAAAGCCCCAACCAUCCUCGCAAAGAAGACAGAAACCAACUAGGUGUUUGGGGCCCUGAAGGUGCGAUUUUCAUGUGUGGCUGUUUGAUGAGCCCUGAAGGGCAGAAUUCUUGCUCUCCAACCUUCCUUCCUCUGCACCCAAAGAGUCAGCACUGAACACUGUGCUCCUCCUGACGGUGCUUCAGGGCUCCUCGUGCAGAGCUCCAUGCUGCAGCACAACCCUAAAGGCAAAGGCACAUCUGUGCUGAAGGCACCACCGCUGCACUCCAGCCCCCAGAUUGAAGUAGUGGCUGCACUGCCCCGAAGGCACCACGUGUGUUGUGCAUGUAGCACCAUUUCCUUAUUGGUGUUGGUAAGAAAGAAGAGGUGUCGUAUGCUGGCUGCAGACAGCUGCGGCUCUGAGGAUCCCUUCUAAAGAGACAGCAAGAGUUACCCAGAAUGAGCAAGGCUUCUGGCACUCGCUCAACGAUUACAGAGGUUUUGCAGGGUGACAGCAGUUCUGCAAUCAGCCCGCAGGGAGCAGCAGAGCGGUACCGGGCUGCUUUCCUCCCGGAGCCCCUCGGGGCUGUCAGUACCUAGCAAAGCAUCUGCAGACCCCCAGGAGGGAGUGCGCGUCCCCACCGCCCUGAGGGCAUCACGCCGUGCUGCAGCGGGG